CAAUUGUCAUCACCAACAAUUAAUCUACCUUAAUAAAUCUGACCUGAUUGUCAAAUUACAAGAGAAAUGAAAAUUGUCAAUAAAAGAAACCUCUUAUUUUCAUAAAUUUGAUCCAAUUCUCAGCAUCAACAACAACUACUAUGCAUUUAUCCUAUAUUACCAAUUACUAUAUGAAUCCUCAACAUCUAUUCACUCCAUUUGGAAAAAAUUGCAUAUAAAUCGAAAUAUGGGCAUAUAUAACUUCAAUUUUUAGAUUACAAAUUUAGUAAACUAGGGACAAAUGAGAGUUGUGUGCGGAUUUCACAUACCGCACAAAAAGGACACAAUUUGCACAAAAAUAUGAACAAAAACCCAUCAAAAAUAUAAGAACUCCAUAGGGAAAUAAAGGAAUAAACAUAAUCAAUGAAGUAAAUAGCAAUAGUAAUUCUUUAGAUUUACAAUAGUCCUAGAAAAUGGACCACAAACUCUACAAAAAGUUCAAAAUGAAUAAUACCACACUAUUCUUUAGUAUUCCCCUAUACAACCUUUAGUAUUGGAACUAUCCAUAUCUUCAACUUAGUUUUGGUAAGUUAAAACAUACAAGAAUCCGAAUCCAACAUCUAGUGACAAAUUUAUACUGAUAGUAGGUAACUCAACACUAAGAAAGAAUCAACUUACCUUUAAAAAAAGAAAGUUGCUCAAAAGAAAGGAUAAAGUUAACUAUACCUAUCAAAUAUAAUUUUGUCGACGUCGAUCCCAAUAGUUUUACCAGCUGUUUUAGAUUCCUCGGCUACCUAUCAAGGCCAUAAAUGAUAUUUAGGUUAAUUUUAGCAGAACAAAAACUAAAAAUAUCAAAAUAUAAACAAACACAAACGUAAUUGAACAGAAAAGUAACAAAACUUGACACAAAAAUAAAAGAAAAAAGAAAUAAAACUAUUAGCAGAAAUUGACAGCUAAACCAAUGAAAUCGACAACCGAAUCAAUAAAAUUGACUUCCAAACAAUGAAAUUUUUUGCUUAAGCAGUGAAUCGAUAGCUACAUUCAGUAAUUUAAACUGAUUUUCGUCCAAUACACACACAUGCACGCCUAAAAUCGAUGAAAUCAAUGGAUAAAUCAGCAAAAUCGAAACCUAAAUUAGUGAAAUUCAUGGCUAAAAUCAGUGAUUUAAAAUGAUAUUCAUCCAAUACACACACAUGCAUGCCUUAAAUUAGUGAAAUCAACGGCGUUUUGAAAGGAAUUACACGAACGACUUGAAACUGGAGACGUAUUGAAGCGAGUAUUUAUCAGAAAAGGGCUAUUUAUUGACGAAUUUAAACACAUUACCUUAAACGAGUUGAAAUUUGAUCUCCUUACAUAAUGACCUUAAACAAUUUGGGGGAAUCAGUAUUUUUGAGAGAGAGAAGAAUGUCUGUAUAGGGCUUUAGGAGUUUUUAAUGUUUAGACUCUAUUAGAAACCAAAUAAAGUUUUUAGCGGGGGAGCUCUAAAUAUUUAGGGGGAAAAGAAUUAUUAAAAAUUGGUCUAAUUAGUAGCGGUUUUGAACCACCAUAAUUUUUUUAAAAACGUCGUUUUAACAUAUGCCCUAAUGGCGUCUGGAACGACGUCGUAUUAUGAUAUAUAUUGCGGCGGUUUUUACGAACCACCACAAUAAUUUCAGUUUUUUGUAGUGGGUACCUAAAGCUAAAGAUACUCCCCAGAGCAAAACCUAAAAAUAUAGGUUAGAAAACACAUUAAAAACGGAAACUUAUUAGGUGACUUUUCUCUGUUGAUAUAAAUGAUCACAGCAUAGUUAAAUACAUAGUCCUGAUAGAAUAUAAUAAUUCACGAAUAAUGUUGGGCUAACGUUUUUUUUAGCCUAACUAAAAAUGAGGCUCAUAGGCCCAACCCAAGUUAGCCCGCCAACCCUUGAAGCUCGACUGAAGCUGGUUCGGGGCCAUAGAUGGGCAGCGACCCAAUAAUUUUUUAAUUAAAAAUUAAAAAUAUUAAGAAAGAGUCGAAGAGACUAGUCUUACUCACUUAUAACACUUAACCAAGUGAGUCUUUUGAGUUGAAUUAUGAUUUUACUUGAAAUGAAUCUGCUUGAAUUUUAUAUUUUUUUAUCUCUUAAUAGGAAUUAAUUAUUAUGUUUUUGUACAGUCAACACUUUGUUUACACAAUAAAAUUUAUUUCAAGAAAAUAAAAGAAUUUAGUUCAUUUUGGUUUAUUGGGAACCGACCUUCUAUUUAUUUAUUUUUCAUGUUAACCACAUUUUAUAUGUAUGUAACUAUUGGGUAAGUAUUUUUUAAUUUGCAUAUGUCCAUGUUUGAGUUAUGUUUGUUUGUUUGUUUUUGUGUGUGUGAAUUGCCUUUUCUUAUUUCGGUUCUUGAUUGAAAAUUUCUUGAAAUUUAGCUGACAAUUUUAAAGUUUUAUUAACAGCUAAACUCUUAUGUUUGAAAGUAAAGCAGACUUUCCUGAAUGCAAUGAAGUUUUAUGUAAUUUGAAAUAUUGUCUUAUAAAAAUUUGUGCUUUUACAAAUUUUACUUACUUAUGUUAGAAAUAUUAACAAAUUUGUAGAAUUUUAGGUUCGAAUUUAGAUUGAGAAAAAUUAUUACAAAAAGAAAAGAAGAUUAAAUAUGAAGGAUUAGCCUCUCUAGCCUACGAACCGCUUAGGACUGGGUUGAGCUGGCUUUUUUAAGGCCCCUUCCAAAGUUUGACCGAUCCAUUCUAGCCCAUCAAAUUUCAUGACUCGGCCAUGCUAGCCCAUUUUGAUAGAUCUAGUUCAAACGAUUAGUUAGAAUUUAUGAAAAAUUAGAGGUGUCAAACGAGCCGGGUUGACCCGGGACUGGCCCGGCUCAGACCAAUUGAAAUCCGGCCCUGCCCGGUACUUAGGGGGCCGGGUGGGCUGGUUUACUGGGGUUAGAGGUUGGUCCGUUCACUUUAAUUCAUCCGGUUAACCAGGCCGGUCAAACAUGGUCAACCAAAAUCCCUGUAGAACUGGUUGACCGGACCGGUUUAACGGCUAGAUUUCAAAAUUUUUUUAAGGUUUUAGAGUCUAAGGCAAUGCAAAACCUUUGAAUUUACUCUUUUUCCGUUAAUUUUCUUGUUAAAUGUAAACUUUUCAAUUUGUAAGUUUGAAUUUUGAAAUAAACAUGGCACUUGCAAUUUGUAAGUACAAUUUUUUUUCCAUCUUCAUUGUAUUCUUUAUAUUUUUACUUUAUAUUGAUAUAAAUUACAAUAGUUAUACAAAAAAUAAAAUAAAAAACACUAACCUCGCCCGGCCCGGUUCCUUGGAGCUGUAACUCUUACGAUUUAUUUUUUAUCGGAAUAGACCUGGACCCGUUAAGCCUGGUAAAGACUAACCCGCAACCGAUCCGAAUCGGAAAUCGACCGGUUUCAUUUUUUCCCAACUCAGACCGGACCGGCCCACCCGUUUAACACCCUUCUGAAAAAUAGAGAACUACGGCGAAAUAGGAGGCUCUCGUGCUAUAUAUGCCUGUCACCUCAAUCAAUGGAGAAAAAGUGGGCAAUUAUUUCGUAGGGAAGUACAACGGGG
rnacentral:lncRNA from 1 species